CUUUACUGUAGCCUGGAAUUUGGUUCGGGCUGAGCUUGCGCAGGAUAGGUGGGAGGCACAGAGACUGCCCUUGUGGGGGUAGUGGAGCCAACGGUGAGAUACCACUCUAGCUCAGCUAGGAUUCUAACCUGGAGCCGUCAGCCGGCACAGGAACAGUUACAGGUGGGCAGUUUGACUGGGGCGGUCGCCUCCUAAACGGUAACGGAGGCGCGCAAAGGUUCCCUCAGCACGGUUGGAAAUCGUGCAAAGAGUGUAAAGGCAAUACGGGAGCUUGACUGCAAGAGCGACAACUCAAGCAGGGACGAAAGUCGGCCUUAGUGAUCCGACGGCACUGAAUGGAAGGGCCGUCGCUCAACGGAUAAAAGUUA
rnacentral:rRNA from 1 species